AAUAUAUUAUGUUAUCUAUAACUAGUACACUGUGAGACGUUCACUUUAUGGCAACAGGGAGAGGUCAACUGUGGUUGAUCACAUAAGAGAUGCCAAGUUGUUUAACAUUGCUGUUGAUGCAGAGAAGAAAAAACAACUUGAAUUGGAGCUGCAGGACAUCAGUCAUCAAAUACAACAAAAAUCAGAAGAGUACAAAAAUUUGAGUGAGAGGGAGAGGUCUUUGCAGAAGGAAUUAGAAGCAAUGAGAACUGAAAAGGUUUGUCGCUAUGUACUGUAGACCUGCACAUUU